rnacentral:rRNA from 1 species
UUAAAUUGUUAAGCCUGGAUUAUUAGUAGUUAAGUUCUUGAAAAUUAAUGGAGAUGGCGGUGUUUUAGUCCAUUUAGAGGAAUCUGCCCUAUGAUUGAUAUUCCACGAUUUAAAUUACUUGGGGUUUUAGCUUAUAUAUCGCUGUAGAUGGAAUAUUUCUGCUGAACUAAAAUAUUCAUGGAUUUUAAGGAAAGGAAUUCAAGUCAAGAUGUAGCUUAUACCUAAGAAGAGGUGGAUUACAUUACUUGUAGCUAUGGUUAGGAAAUCGAAAUGUUUUUUAUAAAAUGGAUUUGAUAGUAAUUUUUUAUAAAAAUUUGAAAAAUGAUUUUGGCUCUAAAA